GACGAACGCUGGCGGCGUGCUUAACACAUGCAAGUCGAACGGAAAGGCCCUGCUUUUGUGGGGUGCUCGAGUGGCGAACGGGUGAGUAACACGUGAGUAACCUGCCCUUGACUUUGGGAUAACUUCAGGAAACUGGGGCUAAUACCGGAUAGGAGCUCCUGCUGCAUGGUGGGGGUUGGAAAGUUUCGGCGGUUGGGGAUGGACUCGCGGCUUAUCAGCUUGUUGGUGGGGUAGUGGCUUACCAAGGCUUUGACGGGUAGCCGGCCUGAGAGGGUGACCGGCCACAUUGGGACUGAGAUACGGCCCAGACGCCUACGGGAGGCAGCAGUGGGGAAUAUUGCACAAUGGGCGGAAGCCUGAUGCAGCAACGCCGCGUGCGGGAUGACGGCCUUCGGGUUGUAAACCGCUUUCGCCUGUGACGAAGCGUGAGUGACGGUAAUGGGUAAAGAAGCACCGGCGAACUACGU
rnacentral:rRNA from 1 species